rnacentral:rRNA from 1 species
UACGUAGGGUGCAAGCGUUAAUCGGAAUUACUGGGCGUAAAGCGUGCGCAGGCGGUUUUGUAAGUCUGACGUGAAAUCCCCGGGCUCAACCUGGGAAUUGCGUUGGAGACUGCAAGGCUAGAAUCUGGCAGAGGGGGGUAGAAUUCCACGUGUAGCAGUGAAAUGCGUAGAGAUGCGGAGGAACACCGAUGGCGAAGGCAGCCCCCUGGGUCAAGAUUGACGCUCAUGCACGAAAGCGUGGGGAGCAAACAGG